rnacentral:rRNA from 1 species
CUACGGGAGGCAGCAGUGAGGAAUAUUGCACAAUGGGGGGAACCCUGAUGCAGCAACGCCGCGUGGAGGAUGACGCAUUUCGGUGUGUAAACUCCUUUUAUAUGUCAAGAAAAUGACGGUAGCAUAUGAAUAAGCACCGGCUAACUCCGUGCCAGCAGCCGCGGUAAUACGGAGGGUGCAAGCGUUACUCGGAAUCACUGGGCGUAAAGGACGCGUAGGCGGGUUGAAAAGUCAGGUGUGAAAUCCUACAGCUUAACUGUAGAACUGCACUUGAAACUUCUAAUCUAGAGUAUGGGAGGGGGAGAUGGAAUUAGUGGUGUAGGGGUAAAAUCCGUAGAUAUCACUAGGAAUACCUAAAGCGAAGGCGAUCUCCUGGAUCAUUACUGACGCUAAGGCGUGAAUGCGUGGGGAGCAAACAGGAUUAGAUACCCCCGUAGUC